rnacentral:rRNA from 1 species
AUUGAACGCUGGCGGCAUGCCUUACACAUGCAAGUCGAACGGCAGCACGGGUGCUUGCCCCUGGUGGCGAGUGGCGAACGGGUGAGUAAUACAUCGGAACAUGUCCUGUAGUGGGGGAUAGCCCGUCGAAAGCCGGAUUAAUACCGCAUACGAUCUACGGAUGAAAGCGGGGGACCUUCGGGCCUCGCGCUAUAGGGUUGGCCUAUGGCUGAUUAGCUAGUUGGUGGGGUAAAGGCCUACCAAGGCGACGAUCAGUAGCUGGUCUGAGAGGACGACCAGCCACACUGGGACUGAGACACGGCCCAGACUCCUACGGGAGGCAGCAGUGGGGAAUUUUGGACAAUGGGCGAAAGCCUGAUCCAGCAAUGCCGCGUGUGUGAAGAAGGCCUUCGGGUUGUAAAGCACUUUUGUCCGGAAAGAAAUCCUUGGCCCUAAUACGGUCGGGGGAUGACGGUACCGGAAGAAUAAGCACCGGCUAACUACGUG